rnacentral:lncRNA from 1 species
CAGAUAUUUAUCACAGAGUGCUCAGUGCCUGCCCUGCUUUCCCCAGUGCAUACCCCAUGGCCCUCUUGCUAAAUGCUGAACUGGCAGAGAUGCUGGCAAGCCUCAGACACACAGAAUAAUGACUGGGCUGGCUGCUCAGCCUAAAGCUUGGGCCAUUUUGGUUGAGGUGGUCUGGAAGCAUGGAAGAGCCGUGCCUGCCUUGCACAGGAAGCAAACACAUCUCAAGUUGAUUAUCUACAGCCAUGUCUCAAGAAAAUGGGCACAACAAAGGAGUGACUUCUGCUUCAGGGUAAGUGCAGCACUGAAUUGUUUCAUUUCAUACCAUGAAAUACAAUCUUUUGAGUAGUUGAAAAUACUGAGAAACAUCACAAACCCAGUGUCCUUAUAAAACAAUGUCAUUUAUUCUGUUUUGUUCUAUGUUUAUUUUGUUUUAUUCUAUGUACUGCUGUUAUACUCUAAUACAAAGAUGAUUUUUCCUCUCUGGUAGCACAGCAAAAUUAGAAGUGUAUUUGCAUGCUCCUUCACAAUUUGAGAUUAUAAAUCAUCCUAGCUACUAAUCAAUAAAUGCAAUUUUAAAAUCU